rnacentral:rRNA from 1 species
GACGAACGCUGGCGGCGUGCUUAACACAUGCAAGUCGAACGCAGUGGCGAACGGGUGAGUAACGCGUAAUCAACCUGCCCUUCAGAGGGGGACAACAGUUGGAAACGACUGCUAAUACCGCAUACUGAAGGAGGGGCUUGCGUCUGAUUAGCUAGUUGGAGGGGUAACGGCCCACCAAGGCGAUGAUCAGUAGGCGGUCUGAGAGGAUGGACGGCCACAUUGGGACUGGGACACGGCCCAGACUCCUACGGGAGGGAGCAGGGGGGAAACUUCCGCAAAGGAAGAAAGUCUGACGAAGCAACGGCGGGGGAGUGAUGAAGGCGUUCGGGUUGUAAAGCUCUGUUAAUCGGGACGCGGUACCGGAAUAGAAAGCCACGGCUAACUACGUGCCAGCAGCCGCGGUAAUAC